rnacentral:tRNA from 1 species
AUUUAUAUAGUUUAUAUUCAAAACAUUACAUUUUCACUGUAAAAAAAAGUAACACUUUAUAAAUA